AACGAACGCUGGCGGCAGGCCUAACACAUGCAAGUCGAGCGGGGUGAUGGUGCUUGCACUAUCACUUAGCGGCGGACGGGUGAGUAAUGCUUAGGAAUCUGCCUAUUAGUGGGGGACAACAUCUCGAAAGGGAUGCUAAUACCGCAUACGUCCUACGGGAGAAAGCAGGGGAUCACUUGUGACCUUGCGCUAAUAGAUGAGCCUAAGUCGGAUUAGCUAGUUGGUGGGGUAAAGGCCUACCAAGGCGACGAUCUGUAGCGGGUCUGAGAGGAUGAUCCGCCACACUGGGACUGAGACACGGCCCAGACUCCUACGGGAGGCAGCAGUGGGGAAUUUUGGACAAUGGGGGAAACCCUGAUCCAGCCAUGCCGCGUGAGUGAAGAAGGCCUUCGGGUUGUAAAGCUCUUUCGGCCGGGAAGAAAUCGCACAGGCUAAUACUCUGUGUGGAUGACGGUACCGGCAUAAGAAGCACCGGCUAACUACGUGCCAGCCGCCGCAGUAAUAC
rnacentral:rRNA from 1 species